UACAGAGGAUGCAAGCGUUAUCCGGAAUGAUUGGGCGUAAAGCGUCUGUAGGUGGCUUUUUAAGUCCGCCGUCAAAUCCCAGGGCUCAACUCUGGACAGGCGGUGGAAACUACCAAGCUGGAGUACGGUAGGGGCAGAGGGAAUUUCCGGUGGAGCGGUGAAAUGCGUAGAGAUCGGAAGGAACACCCGUAGCGAAGGCGGCACUCUGGGACGGAACUGACGCUGAGGAGCGAAAGCGUGGGGAGCAAACAGG
rnacentral:rRNA from 1 species